rnacentral:tRNA from 1 species
GACGCCACCCAAAUAUAACCCCUAUCUUCCCUGCUGUUAUCGGGUACCGACACGCUAAUAUGACCUUUG